AUGCUAAUGCUACCAGUAUAGCACCUGCGCGAGCGCCCUUCAGCCAGUGAGGUGACCACGCUACUCACUCCACCACUGUGCCGCCCUCAUGGAUCUGGACUCGUGGGCACCCAGUAUAUACACAUACGUGGUGUCCCUGGACUUCAGAACAGUGGGGUUGGUGUGUGAGGAGUUUUAGGGAGGAGAACACUUCACCCUCCACAGGAUUCACUAUAUAAACUGGUGUAAAGCCUGAAAAUUAAAUCUGAAAUCAGCAGUGACGGAGAUCUGAGAGGAUUCAGACCUUCAAAACCUUCAGUGAGAGCAGAAGAAGAAUCACCGGUUACAUUUCCUGUUCUGUCAGUGAUGGAUCCUCAGUCUGAAUAUGAAGACUCUGUACAGGAACCUAUAAAUGAUGUGGUGGAUUCCACUGAAGAGGUUCAAGAUCCUUCUUCUGAAGGUCCUGUCGAAGAUUACGGCCAAGAAGAAAUACAAGAUAUCGAUUAUGGUCAAAUGGAUUCUGAAAGUAAUCUAGUGGAGUGGUCUGAAUGAUCACAAUAAUCUCACACAUUUACAUUCUAACCUGCUCAGUGAGAUGAAAAUGUUGUAACUUAUUAAAGAGCUUCAAUAUAACUUCAGUUUUUAUUAUUUUUUUACACUUUAUAAAAAUCUAAAUGAUUUUUUUCCUG